UACGGAGGAUCCAAGCGUUAUCCGGAAUCAUUGGGUUUAAAGGGUCCGUAGGCGGUUUAAUAAGUCAAUGGUGAAAGCCCAUCGCUCAACGGUGGAACGGCCAUUGAUACUGUUAAACUUGAAUUAUUAGGAAGUAACUAGAAUAUGUAGUGUAGCGGUGAAAUGCUUAGAGAUUACAUGGAAUACCAAUUGCGAAGGCAGGUUACUACUAAUGGAUUGACGCUGAUGGACGAAAGCGUGGGUAGCGAACAGG
rnacentral:rRNA from 1 species